CCAAAAGGAAUCAAUCUUUACUCCUUAUGUUGGAGCCGCUAAAUCGGUUUAUGGAUAAAGUAUCCUAGAUGGAAAGGAAGAUGUGAUGUUGGAUUGAUUUUGGUUGGUUCUGAUGGAGAUCUAGAUGAAUCAGCAUCUUCUCUAUAUCGAAGGUGGUUAGUGACGGUUGAACGAAAGAUAAGAAGCAAAGGAGUUUCAAAUAGUUAUCGGAGACAAAGCGCAGGAAGACUGGGGUUCGCCGGUGAGGUUGCGUCUCAGAUUUCUCAUCUCACGCGUGGUGUUCAGGGACACGUGCCACCCUAAUUUGGCUAUCGUCUCAUGUAAACACAGAAAAGGACGCGUGUUGAAGACUUACUUCGUACAGACGCGUGUAAUAACUCGAAGGAAAUAUUGGGUCAAUAAAUUGGGUUUAUGGUUAAGUCGAGUUUGUAUUAAUGAGAACUGGGACAACUCCUUUGUAGUAUGUCCAUUUGGGCCUUUCUAAUAGAAAGAAACAGUUGAC